rnacentral:RNase_P_RNA from 1 species
AAAGCAGGCCAGACUGUCGCUGCCCCGGCAACGGGGGGGAGGAAAGUCCGGGCUCCACAGGGCAGGAUGCCGGCUAACGGCCGGGCGUCGCGAGGCGACGGAAAGUGCAACAGAGAGCUGAACCGCCGAUGACCCGGAUUUCGCGGUGCGCAAGCACCGCAAAGUCCCAAACAAGCAGGAUGCUGCUUGCGGGCUGGCAAUCCGGCAACGGAUUGCCAGGGGAUCAGGCAAGGGUGAAAAGGUGGGCUGCGACAGCAGCCGUCCGCAAGGACCGGUAAGGGCGCACCGCCGGGGUGGCAACAUUCCCGGGCAGGGUAAACCCCAUCCGGAGCAAGACCAAGCAGCAGACGUUGAGGCGGCCCGCCGAGUCUGCGGGUAGGUUGCUGGAGCCAGUCCGCAAGGGCUGGCCUAGAGGAAUGACAGUCACCUGCCGCAAGGCAGGGUACAGAACCCGGCUUACCGGCCUGCUUUGCAA